GGGCACUCUGGGGAGACUGCCAGGGAUAACCUGGAGGAAGGUGGGGAUGACGUCAAAUCAUCAUGCCCCUUAUGAUUUGGGCUACACACGUGCUACAAUGGCGUAAACAAAGGGAAGCGAGCCUGCGAAGGUAAGCAAAUCCCAAAAAUAACGUCCCAGUUCGGACUGCAGUCUGCAACUCGACUGCACGAAGCUGGAAUCGCUAGUAAUCGCGAAUCAGAAUGUCGCGGUGAAUACGUUCCCGGGUCUUGUACACACCGCCCGUCACACCAUGGGAGUCAGUAACGCCCGAA
rnacentral:rRNA from 1 species